rnacentral:rRNA from 1 species
CCUACGGGGGGCAGCAGUGGGGAAUAUUGGACAAUGGGGGGAACCCUGAUCCAGCCAUGCCGCGUGUGUGAAGAAGGCCCUCGGGUUGUAAAGCACUUUCAGUGAGGAAGAACGCCUGGUGGUUAAUACCCAUCAGGAAAGACAUCACUCACAGAAGAAGCACCGGCUAACUCCGUGCCAGCAGCCGCGGUAAUACGGAGGGUGCGAGCGUUAAUCGGAAUUACUGGGCGUAAAGCGCGCGUAGGUGGCUUGAUAAGCCGGUUGUGAAAGCCCCGGGCUCAACCUGGGAACGGCAUCCGGAACUGUCAAGCUAGAGUGCAGGAGAGGAAGGUAGAAUUCCCGGUGUAGCGGUGAAAUGCGUAGAGAUCGGGAGGAAUACCAGUGGCGAAGGCGGCCUUCUGGACUGACACUGACACUGGGGUGCGAAAGCGUGGGUAGCAAACAGGAUUAGAUACCCUAGUAGUC